rnacentral:rRNA from 1 species
GACGAACGCUGGCGGCGUGCUUAACACAUGCAAGUCGAACGGAAAGGCCCUGCUUUUGUGGGGUGCUCGAGUGGCGAACGGGUGAGUAACACGUGAGUAACCUGCCCUUGACUUUGGGAUAACUUCAGGAAACUGGGGCUAAUACCGGAUAGGAGCUCCUGCUGCAUGGUGGGGGUUGGAAAGUUUCGGCGGUUGGGGAUGGACUCGCGGCUUAUCAGCGUGUUGGUGGGGUAGUGGCUUACCAAGGCUUUGACGGGUAGCCGGCCUGAGAGGGUGACCGGCCACAUUGGGACUGAGAUACGGCCCAGACUCCUACGGGAGGCAGCAGUGAGGAAUAUUGCACAAUGGGCGGAAGCCUGAUGCAGCAACGCCGCGUGCGGGAUGACGGCCUUCGGGUUGUAAACCGCUUUCGCCUGUGACGAAGCGUGAGUGACGGUAAUGGGUAAAGAAGCACCGGCUAACUACGUG